GAAAUGCGAUACGUAAUGCGAAUUGCAGAAUUCAGUGAAUCAUCGAAUCUUUGAACGCAAAUUGCACUCUUGGGCUCGCCCUGAGAGUAUGCCUCUUUCAGUAUCGGUUCUAACUAUCUCUUGCUCCUCGCGUGUGGUUGCGCUUGCGCGACUCACACGUCAGGUGGUGAGGACAUUGAGCUGUCUUGGCUGUUUAGUCGGCCCAGUCGCUUUAAUACCAAUGAGCCCUUUGUGGGGAUGUCCCUACACUCAACUGGAGAUACUAUGACUUCGGUCAUUUUUCUUCCGGUUGCAGUGGCCAGGGUCCGCAUCCUUUCACACUCCAAAAGGGUACUCGGUGAACGAGUCAAAUCUGACUCAGACAACUUUCCGAUCUGAUCUGAAAUGAGGUAAGAGGACC
rnacentral:misc_RNA from 1 species